GUGCCAGCCGCCGCGGUAAGACAGAGGUGGCAAGCGUUGUUCGGAAUCAUUGGGCUUAAAGGGCGCGUAGGCGGCCCCGUAAGUGUCUUGUGAAAUCCCUCGGCUCAACCGAGGAAUCGCUGGGCAUACUGCGGGGCUUGAGGCAGGAAAGGGCGAGUGGAACUCUUGGUGGAGCGGUGGAAUGCGUAGAUAUCAAGAGGAACGCCGGUGGUGAAGACGACUCGCUGGGCCUGUCCUGACGCUGAGGCGCGAAAGCCAGGGGAGCAAACGGGAUUAGAAACCCCAGUAGUCC
rnacentral:rRNA from 1 species